GCAAUGUGCCUGGGCUGGCAGGUGGCCAGGUCAUCACUGCCACUUCUGUGCUGCUGAGCUGGACUUACUGGAGCUCCAGUGUGAACUCCAAAGGGACCACUGCCUGUGGAUGAGUCUGUGUGGGACAUCCUGAAGCAUCCAUAGCCAUGAAUAUGUUCACACCAAAGCAGCUCGAAACAUUCAGCAGUGUGAAGAAGAGGCUGCAGCACCAGAAAAGUACUGCAGCACCACUACUCUAGAGAACAUCCACAGAGGAAUGUGGCCAUGGCAGGAAGGGAUGAUUCUGCAGAUGGACUGAACUGCACUUCUCAAAAGCUUUAUAUUGUCCUUCCAAUCUGAGCCCCUCUCAUGUCUGAUUUGAGGCAAACCAAAUGUGUCUCACAUUGCAAUAUACCACCAGCACAGAUUAAGCUAUGAGUGAGGGCUGUAAAUGAUAUGACCACAUUGAGAAUCACGUUGGAAACCUUCCUUCCCAAAGGCUCUUAAAGGGAACAAAGACUGUAAACCAGAUUCCUAUGUUUCAAGGCCCCAGAUGGCAUUUUCCAACACAUAUGCAUCCAGUGGAAAAGCUCCUGACUGCUUAUCUGUGGGAUUUCAGAACACUCAACAACCUCCAGCAGUCAAACUUCAAACUGCAAAGUAUAAAUCAGAAAACUACUAGACAGAGAAGCACUGAUGUUCUGCUCCAUCAAACACAAUUUGAAAUGCAGCAGCCUAACUGGUUUUAUGACAUAUGGCCAAACCACAGCUGUUCUGACCUACACAGAGGAAAAUGCAAGAAAUCAAUAAAAUGUCCAGUGGAGAUAGUUUUAAUGAGGAAUGGAUCUGUCAUGUGUGACACUUUGUAACCUCACUGAGCAAUAUAAAAAAAAUUCAUUAAUGAAUCAGUACUAUACCAGUCUACUGGAACCAUAUAUCCCCAGGGGUAAUUAAGCUUCUGUGAAGGUCAACAACAAAUGGCACUGUCUUUUGUGAAUGUCUUUUUGGAGUGGGCACAUGAUGUCCUGCCAGACAGAUCCUCAUGCUGGCACUCCACUGUACCAGGAAGCACACUACAGAAACAGAUUUCUUCUGUCUUUCAGAGGCUUGGGUUACUUUUUGAUCAAAUGGGUCUCCUUGGUUUUUUUACAGUACACAAGCAAAAACACACUUAUAAUUUCAGGACAAUGAUUCAGCAAGACAAUUUCUCUGCAACUUACCCUUUUGUAAAACAUGUGGAUCUCCGGCAGGAGGGAUUAACGAUGUCUAACAAGAAAGCGUAGCGCAGCAAGGACUUUGGUGGUAAGAAGAAAUGACUCAUUUCUUCAUUUUCCUCUUCUAAGAAAUCUUUUAGCAUUUGAAUAGAGGAAUCAUUGUCCUGACCAAGCUUCCUUUCCAUUUCUUCUACUGUUUCAAGCUUAAAAAGAAAAGCUCCUUUUGGUAAAAUCUCGCCGCUGCAAUCGGGAUCAAUGUUUGGAUCCAGGUUCUUCUCCUCAGAGGAGGAGGAAGAACUAACUUCACCCACUUUGUCAGCAACUUUGUUCUCGACUAAGUGUUCAAGAUCCUGAUCUGGGAAUCUUGUCAAAAUCUAGGAACAAUUUGUGAGGAAAAAAAACGAUCACAACACAUUGGAUAAACAACUGGACAGAAGACUCUGCAGUGAGAAAGAACUCCUUCAGAGAUGCUCAGAAGUAAUCAGCAAGUGACUACUCAAUGUUAUUUGCAUGGAAAUUAAAAAUAAAAGUAAGAUUUGCUGACCUGCCAGCAGUGAUGUCAGCAACAACUGCAAAUAACUGCAGGACACAGCAUUUCCUAGUCCACUAUCAGCCACUAUCCCCUAAUGGUUUAAAGCCAUUUAAGCCACUGGGGUGCACUGCAUAGAAUGGUGGACUCAGUUGGAAAAGACUUUCAAGUUCAAGUCCAACCACUAACCCCACACUGCCAAGCCCAUCACUAAACUACAUCCCUCAGCACCUCAUCUAUGCAUCGUUUGAAUAUUUCCAAGGAUGGUGGCUCCACUCCCUCCCUGGGCAGCCCAUUCCAAUGCUUAACAACCCUCUUAGUGAAAAAGUUCUUCCUAAUGUCCAAUCUAAACCUCCCCUGGCACAACCUGAACUCAUUUCCUCUGGUCCUAUCAUCCAUUAAUAAACAGAUCGAUCCUCACCUCACUACAACCUCCUUUCAGACAGUUGUAGAGAGUGAUCGUAUCUCCUCUCAGCCUCCUGUUCUCUAGGCUAAACAAUACUAGUUCCCUCAGCUGCUCCUCACAGGACAUGUUCCCCAGACCCUUCAUCAGCCUG